GGUAUAAUUGCUGAUCGGGUUGAUCCAGUAGAUUCCACAGAAGAAGGCACUACGGGUCCAUCCAACUCACACACUAUAGUCUCCAAAGAUCAUGAUUUUAGUGAAUCUGAUAUGGAGGACGAAGAGCAGGUUCUCGAUUUUUUCAGACGUAGUAGUGGUUUGCUACCUGAGGUCGCCAAGAGAAACAACUUCCCUUAUCUUAACAAAUCCGAAGGAAUGGUACUUCAGUUCCAAGAAGGCACUCCUGCAGAAACAGAACAAACAAAUGUAAUGUUCCACAGUUUGAAUGAUAGCAACGAGAUUGCCGAUCUAAGUGCUGUAAACCUGAAUUCACCUGAUACACUUGAAGGAAUCAAGUCAUCAUCAGCUUCAGAUGAGGAUACCGAGGAGUCAUCUAGUAACUCAGACCUUGAUUCUAGCCUUUCCAGGUAUUAUUUUGACGGAUCCUUACCGGUUUCAGCUCAUGUCGAAGAAUUUGAAACCCAUCAAGAUGAAUCCCCUGUACCUAAACAUGAAAACCAGGUUUGCAAUCCAAAUUGGUGGGAAAUGAUAUAACGUUCUCCAUAAGCAACAAUUCAGUUGUAGCUUUAGCUCUUAUCAUUUGUUAAUUCAAGACACUAUCUAUUACAUUUUUCAGAUGCCUCUGUUGUGCCUCAAGCAACCCGUGCUGCAACCAACAUCAUGGAGAAAUUGCUGUGGACUC
rnacentral:lncRNA from 1 species